GUCUAGGUCAUGGAAAGAGCAGGGGUAUUCUGUACCGUAGGCUGAACGACUUCACUUCUGUCAUUGAGGACCUGGUCCUGGCUGUGGAGCUGAGUGAGGGCUUGAGUCCAGGGGGCGGAGCCGAGCGGACACACCCAGGAAAAACCGAGGGCCGUGCAGGAGGCGGCCCAGCCCCAGCUGGUGCUCACCUUUAACGACUUUGCCGUGCCGUGCUUCUUCCCAUAGCUUCUACGCCGAGGAAGCCAUGCUGCUCAGCAAGGCCGUCCAGGAGCAGAAGGAGGAAAGCGGUCUCCACAUUAACAGAGGAGGAAGUACCAUGAGGCAGCUCUGACAAGUUCUCUGAGGCCAUCAAGUAGAACCCUGGAGUCAGCCAGUACUAUGAGAACUGGGCCAAAGCCCCACCGUAAAGUGCCCAACGUGGAGGGGGCCAAGCAGGAUGCCAUCAGUACCCUUCUCCUGGACCCCACUAAUGAUCAUGCAAGACCCUCAACGCCUGUACUGUUUGUCUCAUCCACUCUAUCCAUAAUACUGAGCUGUUAUAGCUAGGGCCUAAUGUGGACCAAGGACCCUAGUUAUGCAAGUACUAAGCUCUCACCACUUGUUUCCAAUGCAGAUUGGGGGGGAAAAAAACAUGAUUUUUCUAAGUAUGUGAACAGGUUAUUCUUUCUUUUAACACACAUUUCAUUUUAUGUAAUACAUGUUUCAUAAAGUGGUGUGAAACUCCCACUUGGUGCAGAACUGACUACUGUAGUAAAUCUGUCCCUCUGUCUGCACGUGUGUGUUUCCAGUUUUAAUGUCACAUGGACAGGUACAGUGAAAUGUCUUUCUUGCAACCAACAAAGCAGUAAUCAUUAACAAUGUAAUACAACAAAUAACAUGGUAGAACAAAAAGAAACGAGAUAAACAUAAAAAAUAAGAAGAACACAAUAAAGUAAGUAAGCAUACUAUAUAAAGGGUCAGUGCCAAUACCAUAUUAACAAUGUGCAGGGAUACUGGAUUGAUAUAGGUAGAUAUAUA
rnacentral:lncRNA from 1 species